AUUGAACGCUGGCGGCAUGCUUUACACAUGCAAGUCGAACGGCAGCGCGGGGGCAACCCUGGCGGCGAGUGGCGAACGGGUGAGUAAUGCAUCGGAACGUAUCCUGUAAUGGGGGAUAACUAAUCGAAAGAUUAGCUAAUACCGCAUACGCUCGGGAGAGGAAAGUGGGGGAUCGCAAGACCUCACGUUAUAGGAUCGGCCGAUGUCUGAUUAGCUAGUUGGUGAGGUAAAGGCUCACCAAGGCGACGAUCAGUAGCUGGUCUUAGAGGAUGAUCAGCGACACUGGGACAGAGACACGGCCCAGACUCCUACGGGAGGCAGCAGUGGGGAAUUUUGGACAAUGGGGGCAACCCUGAUCCAGCCAUGCCGCGUGCGGGAAGAAGGCCUUCGGGUUGUAAAUCGCUUUAGUCUAGGAAAAAGGAAUGCAGGAUUAAUACCCUUGUGUUUUGAUGGUACUGGAAGAAUAAGCACCGGCUAACUACGUGCCAGCCGCCGCGGUAA
rnacentral:rRNA from 1 species